UGAAUUUCGUUAAUUAUAGUACCAAGUGUGAGCUCAAAUACAGUAAAACGGUGGAUUUAGAAUUUUUUUAGUAUAGAAGAGCGUAUGAAAUCCAAUAUAGAACCUAUGUUGUAUACAUUUUUCACAUUACACCAAAAUGUCAUAUCAAGAAAGUACAGUUGCUAUACCUCCUACCAAUUAUUUUCUUUAUGGUAUAAACUAGAAGUAAUGAUCUCUCAUUAAUCUAUAGAUGCUAUUUCUUGUUUACUAUCACUAAGGAUACCAACAAGUUCCAGUGAGAACCUUAAUUCUUUAUGUACAUUAUAUGCUUUUUCACAUUUUCCUGGCAACCCUAGG
rnacentral:lncRNA from 1 species